UACGGGGGGGGCAAGCGUUGUUCGGAAUUACUGGGCGUAAAGGGCUCGUAGGCGGCCAACUAAGUCAGACGUGAAAUCCCUCGGCUUAACCGGGGAACUGCGUCUGAUACUGGAUGGCUUGAGUUCGGGAGAGGGAUGCGGAAUUCCCAGUGUAGAGGUGAAAUUCGUAGAUAUUGGGAAGAACACCGGUGGCGAAGGCGGCCAUCUGGACCGUAUCUGACGCUGAGGCGCGAAAGCGUGGGGAGCAAACAGG
rnacentral:rRNA from 1 species